rnacentral:rRNA from 1 species
CAGUGACGGAUCUCUUGGCUCUCGCAUCGAUGAAGAACGCAGUAAAUCGCGAUACGUAAUGUGAAUUGCAGAAUUAAGUGAAUCAUCGAAUCUUUGAACGCAUCUUGCGCUCUGGGGUAUUCCUCAGAGCAUGCCUGUUUGAGUGUCUUUUAAUUCUCAUACCCAAAAUUUUUGUUUAUUCAAACUUUCUUGGGGCAUGGAUCGUGGCUGCAAGACGAAUUUGAUUCUUUUAUUAAAUCGUCUCGGCUGAAAUUGAUGAGCGGACUUUAUCGUGUAAAAAGCGAUAACUCAGAGUUGCUUUUAUGUGUGUGUAUAUGUGUAUGCGUAUUGUAUCUACAAUAAACACCAAUAAAAAAGGGGCAUUGUGAGGAAAAUCGAGUUCGGCGUGAUAGGAUAUUAUCAUUACGUUGAGCAUUCAAUCGAUCGAAUCAUUUUGUGCUUUUGGUUGUUUAUUUUACAAGUCUGCGAACCAUGUUGCAAACAUAUUCUUAUGGGUCUCUGAGCAUUGUUUGCUACGAACAUUGUAUUAUAUCCAAUAAUGACCUCAAAUUAGGUAGGACUACCCGCUGAACUUAAGCAUAUC